GACGAAGGAUGCAAGCGUUAUCCGGAUUCAUUGGGUUUAAAGGGAGCGUAGGCGGAUUUGUAAGUCAGUGGUGAAAUCUCUGGGCUCAACCCAGAAACUGCCAUUGAUACUGCAGAUCUAGAGUACAGUUGCCGUUGGCGGAAUAUGACAUGUAGUGGUGAAAUACUUAGAUAUGUCAUAGAACACCGAUUGCGAAGGCAGCUAACGAAACUGUAACUGACGCUGAGGCUCGAAAGUGCGGGGAGCAAACAGG
rnacentral:rRNA from 1 species